CACUCCGAGGAGCGUUGCAACGGAUCGUGGCGUAACAUGCCCUCCGCCAGGCUCGGACUGUCUUCAACGGCGCUCGCUGAUC
rnacentral:ncRNA from 20 species